GAGAGCCUUUGGCUGCUUCUGAGACCGGCUGUGGGCUGCCACCGCUGAGCGGCGCGGAGGCUGCAGCGUUCCCUCUCAGGACAGAAAGCAGGCGUUGGGGACUGUUACUCGCAGCCUGCCAGGGGCAGCAGCCGCCCCAGGUUCAAGUGGCUAUGUGCCAGGAUACUCAGGCGCGGCUGUUGGCUGCCCAUGGGAGAGCCAGUGCUCUCCGCAGGUCCAAAGUGCAAGGCCGGGCUAUUCCCGGACUUGCCUAGGAGCAGGGGCCCCCAGCGCGUCUGGGAUUGCCCCGGCGCGUCGGGCGCGCGAACUUGUGCGCAAGGGAGAAGAGCGCUUACCAUGGAACAUGGUCUGCGGGAGGCGGGCGUAGUCAUGAUGACCGCAACUGGAGCAGGAGCAAGCUCUCACCGCCCAUAGUCACUCCCAGGACCCUGGUCUUCCGCGGAGUUGCCGAGUCUGUGUUGGGCAGGGUGAUCUCUGCAGCUGGUUCCUCUUACCCACGCCGCGACUGCAGUUUCAUCCAUCCCAAGGGGGGCGGCACACACUACGGCGUGGCUCUGCGCUUUGCCUUUUCCAUAACUUCCGUAGGAUCCGCCAGCAGUGUACUUUCAGUUUCUACUUUGCGCUUGGUCUGCAGGUUCAAUCUUUGGGAUCAUCAGCAUGGAAUCUUCAUUAUCCCCUCUCUCCUGGGCACCUGCUUCCCGCGCACCUGGAUGAGGACCAGAGGAAUUCGCGAAUUUCCGAAUCACCGCAGGAAAAACCAGCUGGCCUGAAUCAAAGCAAUUCUGGGUAAAAGACUUCCCAGAUGAUCUCUCAACGCCUUGGCAACGCUUGGCGACUGGGAGCUAGAACCAUGAGUUGUUAAUGUGUGCACGGAAGCCACAAGUGUGCAGGACGCAAGCUGGGUUAUUGGAAGCGGACGACACCAAGGAGGCGUUGCCGCGGAUGUGGUGGACGAUGCCAAGUCGUCUUUUAAAAAAGGAAGUGAAGAAUGAUUAAGAGGGUCACGCCCUCUACCACUCCAACCUCUCUAAUCAGUCUCUUUCUGCUCCGUCUGCUGUACAUGCACCUGCUCAGGUGAGACCUCAAGGAAAAAUAAUCCUGUGGGUCCACCUAAUCUGGUAUCCCAACUGAAUCUUUGGCAUUAGGCUGGCUGAGGUCUUGUUGGAAUCUGGGGAUUCAGCCAGAGUCGGGUUGAGAACACUGACCUUACUGUCAAAACUACCCCAUUGGAGGGUAUGACCGGAAGGAGUUGUGACUGGAGUAACUGGAAUACUGAAUCCCUCUCAUUCCUAACUCUGGAGGUGUGCACACCAAGUGAUACCACCCUACAAGUGAGGGCACAAAAAGUGUGAUUCACAGCAUGGUUGGAAAGGUGGCCAGGCUGUCAGUCUUUCCUAGAGAGCUAAACCUUGAUAGCAGGACCCUCAUCCUAUGGUACUGACUCAAAAAGAAAAGGACUGACCUACAUAUGGUCUCUGGACUCAGGCACACGACCCAGAGUUCAGAAAAGCCUUCAAAUCCUAGCGGGAAACAAAGUGUUAGGCAAAGGGACAGGGCAGACUAUGGAGUGGAAGUCAGCAUUUCAGGAGAAAAUCAGGUCCUGUGCUUACAGGAUCAAUCACCAGGGCUUGGCCAUGGCAAAGCACUUCCUGGCAUCAUUGUGUAAGUACUCAGUCCUAUGUAGUAAUGGUAGAGGGCUAUAGACAAUGACAAGACCUGAUCCAGUUAAAGGGCAGAGGCUGCACAUUAGGAUUCCCCCAGGAGAUUUUAGGGUUAAGAAGUGUAUCACUGAAAUACUUCAUUCUGCUUGCUACUCUGCAGAAGAAUUGAUAGAAGAAUUAGGUAAAACAAAAAGUUGUUGAGACACAUUUGUUGUAAUAAUGGAAAUGUUAUUAUGUAGUAUCUUCAUUGUUCUUGAUGCCCUGUUUGUUUGUUGUUUGUUAUACUUUGGAAUAUAUGUUAUACUUUGUACUGUUUGUGAGUCCUAGGAUGUUUUCUCAAUUUCCAUUUUACUUUCUAGAAUUUAAUUUUAAAAUUUUGCACUAUUUAAAAACAUACAAUUUGUUUCUAAGGAAUUUGCCUUCUCUGCUUGUUUUUGCCAGGUUGUUUCCAAACACAUUAACUACUAUUGUGACAAUAAACACGAGUCAGAGUUGAAUAAAAAGAAUUCUUUUUAUCAUCAUCAUCAUCAUCAAUCACUGUCAUCACUAUACCAUGAUGUCUAUCAUAUUAAAAAUAAGAAGGCUUUCGUAGUCUACAGGAAGUAAUUUCAAUGUAGAUCAUAGCUUUAUAUUUUAUUUAAAAGUUCUUGGUAUUACUAAUAUGAAAAUUAUAUUUUAUUCAACCACCAGAGGGAGCUCUCAAAUAUAUGGAUUCUAAAAGGGAAGGAGUAAAGUAAUUAAGUAGGCAGCUUUGUAUGUUUUAUAGUUGAAAAUCAAAGAUUUCAUCAGCUGUGUGUCAUGGUUUUUGUGGGAUCACAUGUUGUGUCUUCGUACAUCAAGUGCUUAAAAUCUUGUCCUACUAUAGAUGCCACAUCAUUUUAAUUAACAGCUAUGAAAUAAUAAUCUUGUUUUUAUGUUUUUUUUUAAGUUUGAGUAAUUGUUUUAUUUUAACUUUAUAUUUUAAUUUUGGACAAUAUUGAUUGAUGCCAUGCUUUGCAAAUAUAAUUAUGCUUUCAGACCUCCUCUCUUAGGUCCCAGUUUUUCUUAAGUUGUGUUUUUAUAUUGUCCAAUUUAUAAAACUUAUAUUCUUUUUUAUAACCGUAAAUUCAAUGCUGAGACAUCUCCUUUUCAUAUUUCUUUGUUUUGAUGUAUUGCUUAACUUGCUAAAUUUUAUUGUCAAAUAGUUUAUUUGAGAAGGGUCUUUGGGUUCUAGAAUCCUUGAUAUCUUUCAUGUUUGAGAAUGACUACUUGUUGCUUUACACAUGUAUGACAAUAGAGUGGGUAUAAUAUUGUGAGGUCAUAUUUUCUUUCUCUCAUCUAUGAUUUAAUAUUCCCCCUAGGAAAAUCAAGUCUUCCAAUUUUUUUUCACUAAUAUUAUGUGGGUGUGGAAGGGGAAGGAAGGAAAUUAUCCAACUGUUUCCUGCAGGCAGAGCAAGUCCUUACAGAGCAGGCUGCCCUCAGUGAUGAUGAGUUUUGGAUCUCCCAGAACAUCCCACCUCUUAAAUGUGUAGCGUCUUACAACCACAGUUGCUAACAGUAUGAGUUCUGCAGUUAUACAGAACUAAGUCCAUUAGCUGUGUGACCCAUGGCCAAAUAUUUUCCUUCUCUGUGCCUGCAUUUCUUCAUCUGCAAACUGGAAUAAUGAUAGCAACUACUUCAGAGGACUAUGCUAGAGUGCAAUGGCGCAAUCUUGGCUCACUGCAACCUCC
rnacentral:lncRNA from 1 species